CACCACACCCAGCUGAUUUUUGUGUUUUUUGUAGAGACGAGGUUUCACCAUGUUUCCCAGACUGUUCUCAAACUCCUGAGCUCAAAGCAGUCCACCCACCUUGGCCUCCCAAAGUGCUGGGAUUACAGGUGUGAGCCAUCUUGCUCAUUCUAGUUUAAACUUUUGAGUGGUUUGUGUCUCCUGAUUGGACUCCUACAAAUACAGAAUUGAUGCUAGGAAGGGUACCAGGAGACAGACGCACACAGAUGGGAUUUGGGAAUAGGUUUGGUUAUCCAAGGAGCAGUGCUGAGCUCCUUGCUAAUGGGAUAUGGGAUGCUGGUGAUUUCCAGGAAGUGACCUCACAAUGACUCAAGCUACCACAUACUGUUGAUUGUGAAAUGCCAGUUGAAGCAUAGGUCCUGCGAGCUUAGGGGUGCUACAAGUUGACCACUGCAGCAGUAAAGAUGACUCUGAAGAAUGGCAUGGGAUGGAUCCUUUCGAAUGCACUUGAGCAGCGGUCUCCAACCACAGGGCCACAGAGCUGGAGCUGGAUCUACCAUGAAGGACUUCUGAAUCCAGGAAGAGAGACUGACUGGGCAACAUGUUAUUCAGGAGAUGGGGUCUCACCCUGUCACCCAGGCUGGAGUACAGUAGUGCUAUCACAUCUCACUGCAGCCUUGAACUCCUGGGCUAAGGGUACUCCUACCUGAGCCUCCUGAGUAGCUAGGACUGUAGGGUCUCCCUCUGUUGUCCAAGGGUGGAGGGUAGUAGUGCUAUCGCAGCUGACUGCAGCCUCAACCUUCCAGGCUGAAGCGAUCCUCCCACCUCAACCUCCCACGUGGCUGAGACUACAGGUGCUUGCCACUAUGCCCAACUAAUAUUUGGAAUUUUCGUAUACAUGGAUUCCAGAGGGGUGACAGCGAAACGUGGGACCAUCCAGUUUCAGGAAAACAAGCUUAACACGCCCACUGAUUCUACAUUAUGCUCCUACCUCCCGGCAACCUCGCCAGGCCCAGAACUCUCUCCAGUCAGCCUCUACAGACCAAGCUCAUGACUCACAAUGGCCUAUUUAGGCCCAUACCCUACCUCACGGCAGUCUCCGCAGAUGAGCCUACUGCCUCACAACAGCCUCCACAGGCACAGCUCCAUCAUUACAAUGGCCUCUUUAGAUCCAGCUCCUGCCUCCCAGCCUUCUCUCCAGGCCCUGAACUUUCUCCAUAAGUUGAGGUAGCUGGGACUGUAGGUAUGCAUGACGAUACUUGGCUAAUUUUUAAAUUGUUUUGUAGACAUGGGGUCUCACUUUGUUGGCCAGGCUGGUGUCAAACUAAUGGCCUCAAGUGACCCUUCCACCCCUGCCUCCCAUCCUAGAGGUAUGUGCCACCACAAGGAGCACUUGUUCAAUUUUCUAAAGAAAAAAUUUCUAAAGUAAGGCUGUGGGAUGAUGGCAGGAAGAUAAAAGAAAAACAGAAGAAUAAGUUAAAAUGACUUAUUCACACAUAUUCUUUUGACAGCAAGAAGAACUUUUAGUAUAUACAUUCCUUACAAACAAACAAACGGCAGAUAAACAAUGUUGUAUAGGAACUUCAACACACACUGUACAAUAUUCCCACUUUGCUGACAUAAGUUAUGGAAAUUUCGU